rnacentral:piRNA from 1 species
UCCAGCUUCUGGUGGCCAGCAAUUUUGAAUC